GAUGAACGCUGGCGGCGUGCCUAAUACAUGCAAGUCGAGCGAACAGACGAGGAUCUUGCUCCUCUGACGUUAGCGGCGGACGGGUGAGUAACACGUGGAUAACCUACCUAUAAGACUGGGAUAACUUCUGGAAACCGGAGCUAAUACCGGAUAAUAUAUUGAACCGCAUGGUUCAAUAGUGAAAGACGGUUUUGCUGUCACUUAUAGAUGGAUCCGCGCCGCAUUAGCUAGUUGGUAAGGUAACGGCUUACCAAGGCAACGAUGCGUAGCCGACCUGAGAGGGUGAGCGGCCACACUGGAACUGAGACACGGUCCAGACUCCUACGGGAGGCAGCAGUAGGGAAUCUUCCGCAAUGGGCGAAAGCCUGACGGAGCAACGCCGCGUGAGUGAUGAAGGUCUUCGGAUCGUAAAACUCUGUUAUUAGGGAAGAACAAAUGUGUAAGUAACUAUGCACGUCUUGACGGUACCUAAUCAGAAAGCCACGGCUAACUACGUG
rnacentral:rRNA from 1 species